AUUGGACUUCUAGAUAUCGAACACUGGCUCAUCGAUUCGUAUCGCGACAAGUGGUACUUCUCUCGACUCGGUACUAUGCACGAAAUUGAAAAGCUUGACCAUGGUGGAUUCUGAUUCUUUUCUGAUGCAAAUGAAGAUUUUGCUCAGGAAAAUUGUUAUAGCCCAGAAAUUAUUAGCACUACAAAAUUCAGGGAUGCAGUUGCAAACGACGCUCUUGAUGGGCAUAACCCUUAAAAAGCAUGAUGCGGGUUUGGCUAUGAAUUAAAGAUGUGUGAGUAAAAUGGUUGUGUUGAAAUUUUGAGUUCUGGGAAUCAGGAUUUUAGUCUUCCUUUACUGUCAGAAGUGUUCUAAAAUUGGUCUACAAUUCUGUCUUGGAACUUGGUCUUUUGGAGCUGAAAGCUUCUGUCUCUCCCAUCUGGAUGUGAAGUGGCAAAGUAAAAUCUUUUUCUUGGUAGUUAAGCAUAUACUAAAUCCUUAGGUCCAAGAAGUAAGUUGUUGGGUAUGUAUAUGUUUGUUCAUAAUCUUAGAACUUUAGAGCUAAGGUGCUCUGAUAUUUAUUGUUCUUGGGAAAUUGGAAUGAUUUUAGUUUUGUCUUUUUAGUUGAAUAUGAAAAUUUGAUAAACUGCUUUUAAUUCUGGGCUUCUAAUAUGAUCAUCGAAUAUCGUAUUAAUUUAAAGCCAUCGAGCCAUCAUUGAAUAUGGUAUUGUUAAUAAGCCAUGAAGUGAUUGUUUCAGGUUUCAUGUUUAUUUGUUAUGUUGAGGGAAUUGGUGAGUUUCUUGGCCCAAAUGAAGAUUUUUUUUUUUUUUGCUUUGUUUAAUUACUAAGUGUGAUAUUGUCGUGGUGCUCAAGCACUCCAUACAUUCUGUAUAUCUGUGAAAGAGAUACGUUUUCUUUGUUUUGGUUACUUUUGCUAUUAAGUUAUUUGUUUAUGUUUCUCAAGUUCUAGGUGGUUCCUGUUAACUAUGCUUGUUUCUAGAUUUUCGGGCCUUAGUAGGCAGAUGACAAGUAUCUCACAAAAGGUUUCUGUUCAUAUUUGUGCUUCAUGAUUGAUUCAUUUUUUCCAAUAUGCCUGAGCCGUUUAUUCACAAGCUUUUUCUGUGCUCGUUGUUUAGCUUAAUACUACCUUAAUUGUUUCAUAUUGUUCAUUUGAUCUUCAUGCACAAGAAUGAACUUGUUUGAUAUAUUGAUCUUUAAUGCAAAUGAAACAAUGGUGCUUUGGAAUUUCGAUUUGUGUGUGGUACAAAGUGGGGAAUGGCUGAUCACUCCUUUCUCUAGUAAGCAAAUUCAAAUUUCAUAUUGUCUCCAAUGGUCUACUUCCAUAUAUGCUCUCACACAUAUAUAUGCUCACAGAAAUAUUGUGUCAUUGCUUCUAAUAUAAUUUUGUGUUCAGCUUUCUGCAAAGUAAUUGAGGAAUUAGUUAUCUCUAUGCAUUAAUCUGCAUCUGUAUGAAAUAGGUGCAGUUUGCAGGCAGUACACACUAUGCAGUUUAGGAAACACUUGCAAUACAUUCAACAUGUAGCGUGUGCAUGUAUGAUUGUUAAGCUGUACUCUCAGGACAU